GCAAGUGCAGCGCAAGAGAGAAACGGCGAGAAAGAAGGAAACCCUUUGCAUCCUCAACCGUCCCAUAUCAGGAGCGGGGGGAAUCUUCAUUGUUGUCUUGUUCUUCGAGCAGGAGAGUAACAGUAAACAGGUUUCUUAUUCAAAAGCGGCGGCAAAUGGGGAGCAGAGGAAGAAACAGAGGCCGUACUCAGAGAAAGCAUUUUAAAGACAAGAGAGAUGAUGUUUGGAAACGGCCCAAAUCUGAUCCUUCGCUGGAUCUCAAUAACCCCGGCACUGAUAAUCCUGCCUGGCAGCCUUUUGCUGUGCAGAACGCCGCCUUUGAUGAGUACUAUAAGGCUCAAGGAAUAGUAGCGCCGGAAGAGUGGGAUGUUUUUCUGGAAAUUCUUCGAAAGCCAUUGCCUGCAGCUUUCAGGAUUAAUUCCAGUAGUCAGUUUUGCUAUGACAUCCGAUGUCAAUUAGAAGAUGACUUUAUGAAAUCUCUUCAAGCUGAGGCCAUUGAGGGGGGUGAAGUGGAGGCUAUUAAGCCAUUGCCGUGGUACCCAGAGAAACUUGCUUGGCAUUCAAAUUUUUCUCGUAUGCAGAUAAGGAAAAAUAGGACCCUUGAGAGGUUCCACGAGUUCUUGAAGCUAGAAAACGAAAUUGGAAACAUAACCAGACAGGAGGCUGUCAGUAUGGUGCCUCCUCUCUUCCUUGAUGUACGUCCAGAACAUUAUGUACUUGACUUGUGUGCAGCACCUGGUUCAAAGACAUUCCAAUUGCUCGAGAUUAUUUACCAAUCAAUAAAACCAGGAUCACUACCUGCUGGAAUGGUUGUAGCAAAUGAUCCUGAUGUCCAAAGAUGCAAUCUUCUCAUCCACCAAACUAAAAGAAUGUGUACUGCUAACCUGAUAGUCACCAAUCAUGAUGGUCAGCAAUUCCCUGGCUGCCGCUCAAACAAAAGCAUCCCUAACACACGUGAGGAAAAAACUGAACUGAAGUCAAGCAUCAACCAACUUCUUUUUGACCGGGUCUUGUGUGAUGUCCCUUGCAGUGGAGAUGGUACACUACGCAAGGCUCCAGACAUCUGGCGAAAAUGGAAUUCAGGAAUGGGCAAUGGGCUCCAUAGCCUACAAGUUCUGAUUGCUAUGCGAGGUUUAGCUUUGCUUAAAGUUGGAGGGAGAAUGGUUUACUCAACCUGCUCAAUGAAUCCAGUUGAGGAUGAGGCUGUUGUUGCUGAGAUAUUGAGGAGAUGUGGAGGUUCAGUGGAACUUGUUGAUGUCUCUAAUGAGCUCCCUGAACUUGUAUGCAGACCUGGGCUUAAAAAAUGGAAGGUACGUGACCGGGGUGUCUGGUUAGCUUCCUACAAAGAUGUGCCAAAAUUCCGGAGGAGUGUGAUCCUUCCCAGCAUGUUUCCUUCUGGUAGAGGCUUUGACGACCAAAAUAAUGUUAACCAGAGACAUGAGAAUGGUGAUAAUAUAAACUCAGAAGAUGGAUCUAAGCAAGUGGAUGUGCCUGUGGCCUCAUGCGAUGAUUUGGUUGAGGAAAUUUCCAAUUUCCCAUUAGAAUGUUGUAUGAGAAUACUGCCUCAUGAUCAGAACACUGGAGCAUUUUUCAUAGCAGUCCUUCAAAAGCUUUCAUCCUUGCCAGCAAUUCCAGAGAAAUCCAUCAAUAAACAGGGGAAGUUAGACAGCCCAAAUAAUGAACCACCUGAAAAUUUAUCAAAUCAAGCUUUUGAAGACAACAACUUAGAGAUUGAUUCAGAAGAUGUGCCAGAUGGUAAAUUAUCGGAGGCAGCUUCAGAGGCUGAUGCAAGUGAUGAUAAACCAGAAAAGGCAGCUUUGGAACCUGGGCAGUGCAAUGAAUGUGAGGAACACGUUUUAGAACAACCUCAAGCACCCAUUAGCACAGAAGUUGAUUCUCGAACAGCAGGAACUAAGAGAAAGAAACAAAUGCAAGGCAAGUGGAAAGGAGUGGAUCCUGUUGUUUUCUUCAAAGAUGAAAUUAUUAUGAACAGCAUUAAGACCUUUUAUGGCAUUGAUGAGUCCUUUGCACUCAAGGGGCACCUUAUCACACGAAACAAUGAUCCUAACCACGUAAAGAGAAUUUACUAUGUUUCAAAGUCGGUUAAAGAAGUUCUUGAACUGAAUCUUCAGGUGGGGCAGCAACUUAAGAUAUCUUCGGUCGGUUUGAAAAUGUUUGAGCGGCAAACAUCAAGAGAAGGAACCUCUGUACCAUGUUUGUUUCGCAUAUCUUCUGAAGGAUUGCCUGUUAUUCUUCCUUACAUCACUAAGCAAAUCCUGUAUUCAUCACCGGUAGACUUCAAGCAUCUUCUACAGUAUAAAACAAUCAAAUUUGCAGAAUUUGUUGAUUCGCAGUUCGGCGAGAAGGCGUCAAACCUGAUGAUGGGCUGCUGCGUGAUUGUUUUGCGUCAAGAUAAAUCAGGGUCAGAUCCCAUCAAAGUGGACUCAUCAACAAUAGCCAUUGGCUGUUGGAAGGGAAGGGCCAGCUUAAGUGUCAUGGUCACAGCAAUCGACUGUCAGGAAUUGCUAGAAAGACUUGUAAAACGAAUGGAAAUGGAAGAGGGCACCUCUGUUCGGGAAAACAAUGGAAAAGCAGAUGAACUGCAGGAUGUGCGUAGUAGUGCGAGUAACGGUGAAGCAGAAAGCAUGACCGACUGAUGAAAUGCUAGCAGGUUUUCAUUGCUUUCAGAAUCUUCUGUUGUACCCUAAGCAACAUUUGCUACUUUCUAGGCAUUUCAAGUGAUUGAUGCAGGAAGUUCGGCGAAGUCAUCGUGUCGGAUUGGAGGAGGGGAAAAAAAUCAAUAACUCAGAUAUUGAUAACUACAAGGACACAAGUUUAUAUAGCAUUUCUAAGGCUAAAGUCUCCUGAUUUUAGCUGAUUGAAGAAAAUGAGAUCAUGCAACAUAAGAUUCAAGACAUCCGAGGACGUCAAAAGUGCUGUAACUCAAACGUCAAAAGUGCUGUAACUCAAACGUCA